CAGGUUGAUGAUGCAGCAUGGAGCAAGCAACACUUGUUGGUUAUGAUUACUUUUUUGACGAUAUGGCAUCAGAGACCUCGGUUCUCGAUAAUCUAUGAAAAAGCAAGAAGAAAACUCGAAUGGAUGUAAGAUAUGGUUCAAGAUGUCAUCACACAGGAAACGAUGACGAUGACAGUGUCAUCAUUCUAGAAUUAUUCGUACAUUCUAAACUUAAGCUUACCGCUGGAAUUUUAGUUAUCAGUUCCACCAAGGACUGGAGCAGGCGUUCUUCUUGUUCGAACCUGCAGCACUGCUUCUCCAGAUAUAAUUGGCAUCAUCAUACUAUAAUUGUCCAUUGAAUCCUCAAUUCGUACAGUGACGCAGCAAUCAAAUUUUACAGCGUUGCCAUGUGUGUGCACGUUCGCCACAAGUACCAACUUUCAAGUAAAUAGUAGGUGGAUUGACCAAUUAUCAUGCACACACAUUGGCCCGGCUUCCUAGCGACUUGGAAGCUUUCGUUUCAUGAGAAUAAAAAUUUGGGUGGAAGAGCGAUUUGUCCUCUGGUACGUUCAUUUAUCGGAGCAGUAAUGGAUGAUAAGAGAGUGCUUGUCACUGUAUAUGGUUGAUUCGUUUGUACAAUCAAAGUAUAUGGUACACCAGUUGCCAACUACAUCAUCUGCAGAUUUCGUGCAUGGUGAUGAUUAACUGGCAUCCUUCAGAGCUCCUUCGGGUUGAUUCAAGUUAAUGGCUGAACACACU